rnacentral:lncRNA from 1 species
AAAAAAAAAAAAAAAAAAAAAAAAAAAAAAAAAAAAAAAAAAAAAAAAAAAAAAAAAAAAAAGCACUUUGGGAGGCUGAGGCAGGAGGAUCGCUGACUGAAAAUUGCCUGAAUUCUAGCAUGGAGAUUGUAAUUUUUUUUUCUCUCUCUCUCUUUUUUUUAAUGAGACAGAGUUUUGCUCUAUCACCCAGGCUGGAAUGCAGUGGUGUGAUCUCGGCUCACUGCAACCUCUACCUCCUAGGUUCAAACAAUUCUCGUGCCUCAGCCUCCCGAGUAGCUGGGAUUACAGGUGUGUGCCACCACGCCCAGCUAACAGAUUGUCAUUUCUUUUUAUGCUUCCCCUCUGGUCUGUAUUUCUGGUAGUAAGUCUUUUUGCUCACUGUUUUUGUAAAAAGAUUACUUUUUUCCAGAUCCCUAAAUUGCCCCUCUAUCUGUAGUAUCUUCCUACUUCAUUUGUUUUUAAACCUAAGAAUACCCUGGAAUGCUAUAUUGAAGUUAGUAUCUUCUCAUAAUCCUGAAGUGGCUCCCACUUGUUUCUUAAAUCACUUAAAAAUGCAUGAUUACAAACAUUUUAAAACUUAAUUUUAUAUUUCUUUCCUUUCCUUCCCUGGGCAUUCUCCAUUUCAACUGUGAUAACAAUGCACUUGCUAUGUCUACCUCUUAGACAUUUCAGAUGCCAUUCACUUUGCGUGGAGUGUUUUGCCUCCGUUUUG